rnacentral:lncRNA from 1 species
UUGGUACCCGAUGUCUCAAGUUCAAAUUCUAAUUGAUUCACAUUUCCAGUUAAGUUUAUUUCUAAAUAAAAUAAAUGAAGCGGGCAACAUGUUAACUAUCUUUCAAAAAAAAAAUAAAACUAUCUUCUAUACAUAUUAUAUAUUAUUUCUCAUGAAGUUUGCCACGUGGCAAUUCCUCUUUUAUCCCCCCCUUCUCACUCUCUGAUGCUGCGCAUUUCCACUUCAUCUCUACCCGAUGCUUUGUCUUCCCAUCUGCUCACUUUCUAAUUAAUAUAUUCACAUGAUCCAUUUUUAUCUAAACAAAUCAUUUUUUUUAAAAAAAUAUCUAUUUGCUGUUGUAAUUUUUAUUAUUGAUAUAUAUAAUUUAUUUGCUGUUGUAAUUUUUACUACAUUUGUAUAUAUAUCUAUUUUAUAUUUUCUAUUUGUAUCUAUUUAUGUUUCAUUACAAGUCAAAAAAUUUUAAAAUUUUAAUUUUGUCAAUCUUUUAUCUUUUAUAGCAUUAGCCCAUCGCAAUGUAGGGAUAACAUCACUAUAUAUAUAUAUAUAUAGAGAGAGAGAGAGAGAGAAAGAGAGAGAGAGAGAGAGAGAGAGAGAGAGAGCUAGGCUACUAUACUAUAUAUCUAUAGUACCGUGCUCCGGUACUAUAGUGUUGGUUUUCGAUCUUAAGACAUUCAAAUCAAUGAUCCACACCGAUAAAACUGAUUUAGGGUAUUUAAAGUUUCUAGAAAUAAAAUUUUAUAUUUUUUCGAUAUAGUUUACUUUAUGAUCAAACUAUUUUAAAAUUGUCAAUUUUCAAUGGCUAUUAUGACAAGUUUGGAGUUUAACGGUGUAGAAGAAUCUAAAUUUCUUCAAAUUUUGAUAGAAAAUACUUUAAACUAUAUAGAUUAAGGUUAACAUUCUUGAUCUUGAAUUUAAAAGUCUAUACUCAAAUUUUAAAGAUUAUUCAAUUUUCACCGACCAUUUUGAUAUAAUUUAUUUACUAAGUAAACGAUGUCGAAAAAAACUAAAAUUUUA